AGUCCACGCCGUAAACGAUGAUAACUAGCUGCUGGGGCUCAUGGAGUUUCGGUGGCGCAGCUAACGCAUUAAGUUAUCCGCCUGGGGAGUACGGUCGCAAGAUUAAAACUCAAAGGAAUGACGGGGGGCCUGCACAAGCGGUGGAGCAUGUGGUUUAAUUNGAAGCAACGCGCAGAACCUUACCAACGUUUGACAUCCUCAUCGCGAUUUCCAGAGAUGGAUGUCUUCGGUUCGGCUGGAUGAGUGACAGGUGCUGCAUGGCUGUCGUCAGCUCGUGUCGUGAGAUGUUGGGUUAAGUCCCGCAACGAGCGCAACCCUCGCCUUUAGUUGCCAUCAUUUAGUUGGGUACUAUAAAGGAACCGCCGGUGAUAAGCCGGAGGAAGGUGGGGAUGACGUCAAGUCCUCAUGGCCCUUACGCGUUGGGCUACACACGUGCUACAAUGGCGACUACAGUGGGCAGCGACCAUGCGAGUGGAAGCUAAUCUCCAAAAGUCGUCUCAGUUCGGAUUGUUCUCUGCAACUCGAGAGCAUGAAGGCGGAAUCGCUAGUAAUCGCGGAUCAGCAUGCCGCGGUGAAUACGUUCCCAGGCCUUGUACACACCGCCCGUCACACCAUGGGAGUUGGUUUCACCCGAAGGCAGUGCGCUAACCGCAAGGAGGCAGCUGACCACGGUGGGAUCAGCGACUGGGGUGAAGUCGUAACAAGG
rnacentral:rRNA from 1 species